rnacentral:rRNA from 1 species
ACACGGAGGGCGCAAGCGUUGCUCGGAAUCACUGGGCGUAAAGCGGGUGUAGGCGGUCUAGCAAGUCAGAUGUGAAAGCCCACGGCUCAACCGUGGAAGUGCAUCUGAAACUGCUAGACUUGAGUGCCGGAGAGGGAAGUGGAAUUCCUGGUGUAGGGGUGAAAUCCGUAGAUAUCAGGAGGAACACCGGUGGCGAAGGCGACUUCCUGGACGGCCCCUGACGCUGAGACCCGAAAGCGUGGGGAGCAAACAGGAUUAGAUACCCUAGUAGUCC